UACGUAGGGUGCAAGCGUUGUCCGGAAUUAUUGGGCGUAAAGAGCUCGUAGGCGGUCUGUCGCGUCGGAUGUGAAACCUCGGGGCUCAACCCCGAGCCUGCAUUCGAUACGGGCAGACUAGAGUUCGGUAGAGGAGUGUGGAAUUCCUGGUGGAGCGGUGAAAUGCGCAGAGAUCAGGAGGAACACCCGUAGCGAAGGUGGCACUCUGGGCCGAUACUGACACUGAGGAGCGAAAGCGUGGGGAGCGAACAGG
rnacentral:rRNA from 1 species